ensembl:lncRNA
CCCAGCGCAACCCCGGCCGCUCUCGUGGGAACCGCUCCCGCGGGCCGCGUGCGGGGGACCGGGAGCUCGGGCCGCCUCUCCUCGGGUAGCUGUAAGGGACACGUUCAGCUGAGGGACCCACGGCGAGAGGGUGGGAACGGGUAACUUCGGCUGCCCGGCAGAAGGGCGCGGAGCGGAUACACUGAGGCAAAGUUGCGCAAAGUUUGCGCUCACGGCCACCGCUCCCCGCACCUCCUCUCCUCUCACGGCUGCUCCAUCCCUCUCGUUCAUCGCUGUGCGAGCGCAGCGCUGGGAAUGGAACGGUUUGCGCUCACGGAUGCGGCUCUUUUCCCUUCACCCGCGGCCCCGAAUCCCAUCGCUGGGGACGGUGCGCUCCUCCCGCGAGCGCGGUGCGGCUACGGCCGCUGCGGCCCCGACAGCCGCGGGACCGCUCUGAGCCGUGUACCGAAAAAAACGGGGCCAAGUGCUGAGCGGUGAGUGUGAGGCCUUGGGAGGGAGGGGGAGAAGCAGAAGAAAGACGAAAGAAAAGGGGAAAAAAAAAAAAAGACAAAUUCCAUCAGUGUAGGCGAUACGUUCUGGUCGGAGCGCCCGCGGCUUUGCGCACUGAGCCCCGGGACCGCAGCCCGGCGCGGUCGGUGCGAGGCUGCAAUUCGGCCCCGGAGCUUACGGGCAGCACAGGACCCCCCCCGGCCGCCUGUGCCCCGCGGCCCCGGGCCGAGCCGGAGGGGCUGCGAAGUUUCUUUGGUCCUGGAGGAGGAGGAGAGGAGAGCGGCGGGCAGAGGGCGGCCCAUUGUCCGCACCGGGGGCAUUUUUGUCGGCCUGGCGGUGGUUGCUAUAGUGAGGAGGGACGGGGAGAGAGAGGAGGGAAUGGGGGGGAAAAGAAAAAAAAAAGUAAAAAAAAAAAAAAAAAGCAAAAAGCAGCAGCAGCCCCAAAGCGAACAGAGGAACGCGGUCCGCUCUCUCCGCGCUCCCCGCAGCGCCGCCCGCGCCCAACCAAAAUAAGAGCGCGGCGCGGGGCGCGGGGUGCGGCGGCCUCGGAGCGCUGCGGGGAGCCUCCGGCAUCGGCCCGGCCCCGGCCCGGCCCCACGGCCUCUCCCUCGGGCACAGCUGCUCUGCGGGGCGGCCGCGGCACCGCUCCUGGAUCGCUUCUCUCUCUCUCUCUCUCUUUUUCCUUUUUGGUGCCCAAAUAAUUGACAAAAGGGGGGGGGGGGGGGGGGGGGAGGACGGGACGGACGACCUCCCCCGAUGCAAAUGAGCAGCCCUUAAAUUUUACAAGAGACUCUUAUUUUGCAGCGGCGCUUUUUAUUGCCUCGCUAUUGAACUUUGCAAACAGUGCGGCGGGGGCAGGCGGCGAUGGAGGGGCGCGGAGGCGCGGGGCUGAGCGGGGUGAGAGGAGCGGGGCGCGUCGGUCUCUCGGUGAUUUGGGAACGGAGCAGCUCCGGAGAUGGGCGCAGCCGUGGCAGAGAAGUUAGAUUGCAGCUGAAGGAGAGAGGUCAGUAGCUUUCCCGGUCAAUCUCUCUGUCCGUCCGACGCUGUCCCCGUCUAUUCCCCACGAAGGGAAAAAGCUCCAACUUCACUCCUCCGCGCACUGCGCGCACCUCCGCUGCCGGCGCAGUGAGGCUGCGGCUGUUCGGUCCCUUAUCUGAGACGGGGAAAUAACGGCGCUCCUUCCAAUCACGGGGCGGAAUCGGUCUCCUCCCGUUCAGUUGUGACAUAUCUGUAUUUUUUCUUUGGGUCUCAUUUUGGAACCGCAGUUGACAACUUUUAUUUAAAAGCACUUUACCAGGCGCCACUUAAUGCAUUAUUCACAUUUUUAAAAAUGCUUGAGAGAAAUCACCUUAAUGAAGAGAACAUUUGCGGUAAUUUGGCGAUAAUUAUCAGAAUGGCCAAACGUUCGCAGAGGCUGUAGCGUUACGUGUCGGAAGAAAAGCGAAGCGCAUUAUUUUAAUGGUCUGAUAUGCAAACUACGGACCGUCCAAUUAUAACCCUUAAUAGCGCAGACGCGAUGCGGUGCCGCUGCUGUUGGGACGGGAGGGCCGCGGCGGUGCGCUCCGAGGACCGCGUGUGCGCCUCCAUCCAGCGAGAGCGUUCCCGUGGAGCAGGGCCCUGCCAAACCGCAUUUAAGAGAAUAAAAAUUAAUGACUGCGAAUUUGAGCGUUAAAUUAACAUUAAUUAUAUGACCUGCCUGCUGGAAAGAUUAAAUUUCUUACGCCCUAAUUAGAUAACGUCUCCUCAUACAUCAAACAAUUUCCUUUUCCAGAUUUCGGUAUUAAAAUGCAAGAACGGGGCGAGCGGGGCCGCUCCGUGGACGGCGCGGGGGGGGGGGGAGCGCUCCCGG